GACGAACGCUGGCGGCGUGCCUAAUACAUGCAAGUCGAACGCUUCUUUCCUCCCGAGUGCUUGCACUCCAUUGGAAAGAGGGGCGGCGGACGGGUGAGUAACACGUGGGUAACCUACCCAUCAGAGGGGGAUAACACUUGGAAACAGGUGCUAAUACCGCAUAACAGUUUAUGCCGCAUGGCAUAAGAGUGAAAGGCGAUUUCGUGUGUGGCUGAUGGAUGGACCCGCGGUGCAUUAGCUAGUUGGUGAGGUAACGGCUCACUAAGGGCACGAUUAAUAGCCGACCUGAGAGGGUGAUCGGCCACACUGGGACUGAGACGCGGCCCAGACUCCUACGGGAGGCAGCAGUAGGGAAUCUGCGGCAAUGGACGAAAGUCUGACAGAGCAACGCCGCGUCAGUGAAGGAGGUUUUCGGAUCGUAAAACUCUGUUGUUAGAGAAGAACAAGGACGUUAGUAACUGAACGUCCCCUGACGGUAUCUAACCAGAAAGCCACGGCUAACUACGUG
rnacentral:rRNA from 1 species